AAAUAUUUACAUCAAUAAUGACCGCUCUUCAAAAUGACUAUCAACGAGCUGAAGAGAUUAUGGAAUAUAACGUCGAAUUGAAUCAAGAAAAUAACACUUCGCUAAUUAUUAUGGGACUUCUUUAUGAACAAAAUGGGAAUGAUCUCAAAGCAGAAAUGGCAUUUCGAUAUGCCAAUUUAAAUACUGACAAAUGUGAAGAUUUUCCUCUUUCCACAGCCGACAUUUUUCUAAAAAAUGAAAGGAAUUCUUCAGUCAAAAAAUUUAGUUUUGAAAGCAUGGUCUUAAAUUCUCCAAAAAUUAGCGAAAAUGAAGUGAAAAUUUCCUCAAAUAGAGACUCUAACGAUCCCGCCUUUUUGACAGCAGCAAAUUGCUUAUUUUCCCUCAAUCUA